GGAGACAAUAUUUACAAAACAUCAGAUAUAUUUAAUUUUUUACAAAAAUAAUAUCAAUCAUAGCUCUACGAAUUCUUGGCUUCUCAAUUUGAAUUGUUACUUGAUUUCGCUAUUCAAAAAGAAGCCAAAAUGACUGACUACCACAUUACCAAAGGGUAUGACUUGAUAUGGACACUCACGUAUAUAUAUAUUUUUUGAUAAGAUGAAGUACUUAUACAAAUCUAAUAUGAAUACAUUCAAAAAGAUCAAAAAAAAUUAUGAAGUGACGUUGGAAGAUCAAAAACAUCAAUCCACAAGAUCUCUCUGAUAUACUUCAUAACAUAUGAAGCUACUAAAUUCACAAUACUAUUCACCUUCCGAUGGAUAUGUCUGAUAACUAUCGAGGUGCACUCUUCCUCUAGUCACCAUAUAUCCUAUAGGAGUAGAUGCACCAUUACAUCUUUGGAUUGUUUUCACAUUCAGCCAACCACAGUGGCCAAAUCUCCCUCAAGAAUGAGCCUCUAAGCUCCCAGUGUCGUCCUGGAGAAGAUAAUAUUCGACUAAGUUGCUCGUAGCUCUGCUCCUGAAAUAAUAUUGUUAAAGAGGUGGCUCUCACUUGCUGCCAUAAAUCUUGAGUUAGAGCCUCAAAUGAUGAACCCUACUCCUCCCUUGUACCACUAAUGUUGCCAUCAAAGUUGAUUUUGAGAAAACUUAGAGGUAGAGGCUCCCAAGUGAUAAAUACCAGGCAAGAUAUUGAAGGAGCAAGCAAGGAGCCCCACGUGUCCCAAGUCAACAAAGCUGAUCCAGUUGAUGAUAAGUGAUGGAAUUUCGUGCCCUAAGCUUGCAUCCUCUCUAAAGUGAACCUCAUCGACUACCACCUCACCUCAAAGAUGCCACUAUUCCUAGCCAACCAUAUGUGACAAGCAAUACAGACAACUUUGGUACCCCACAUCUUGGAAGACUAUGAUCUAAUACUCCACCACAAUGCCUCAAGGAAAACUUGAAUCAGUGACACGGUACGAGGAAUCACGGGGAAGAAUCUAGCAUUUGCUAGGCCUAUAUGGCUCUCGGGCAAUGGAAGAGGAUGUGGUCAACUAUCUCAUUCUUCGACCUAUAGCAAAGAUAGGUAGAUGGGAGAUCCAUACCUUUGGCAUGCAGAACUAUCCUAGUUGGAAGAUGGCACCAAGCAACCUUCCAUAGGAAUAGAUCGACUUAUGGAUGAACAUGAAGCCUUCAGAUCUAGACCCUAUCUAAGCUUUUGAUCGACACCCCUCUAUACAAAUCAUUGAGAUCCUUGGUCUCCACCCUCAAUGUGCAGGCUAAUCCUAGACUCUUAAAAUCUCGGCCUCUAUGUAUAGGAAUAGCAAGGGACAACACCUUCUUAGCCAGUGGAUCUCCAAAGAGUCUAGACACCAAACCAGCAUUCCAACCACUUUCCCUUGGCUGGAUUAAGUCACAUAUUUGCAUUGAGUCGGUCACCUUCAUAGUACUGACAAAAGUUAGCCAUCUAGUCAGUAGAAACUAAGCAAUCCAUAUAUCCUGAGAGAGAUCCACUAUUUGCCUAUCACUAAUCAACCAUCUAAUCUAGGCCAUUUUCUCAAAAAUUUGAGAGCGGACAUCCCUCUACAUGAAGGAACUAUUCUGACUAUGUCGGGCAUCAAUGCCGAAGGACCAUGAGCCAUACCUGGCUCUCAUCAUAGUGCUCCAGAUGCCAUCUGGAUGGAGAAAGAAUCAUGUAGCAUGUUUAGCAAUCGGAGCAUUACGCAUUGCCAUAGGGAUUAGACACCCGACCCCCCAUCACCAGUUGACAAACCACAUCUCAUGCCAAAAGAUGCACCCUACUUCUUCUCUGGUGCGACCCCCACAUAAAGUUCCUAAAGCACUACUCUAGUUCAUCAGUGAGGUCCUCGAAAGGAUAGUGUUGGACAUCAAAUGGACUGGGUCUGAGGUAAGUACCGAUCUGACUAGGAUAAUCUUUUCUAUCAUGGACAAUGAUCUAGUCUGCCAUCCCUCCAACUGCUUUCAGAUCGCCACCUCUAUCCUAGAGCACUCGACCCUCCUGAGUCUCUUCCCUAUGAUAGAAACCUUCAAAUAGUGACAAGUCCUGCACUACUUAGCAAUCCCUAGAUGCUCCUUAAUCACCUACCUCAGUUGAGCUUUGGUCUUCAAGUAAAAUACACCUUUCUAAUCCAAGGCUUUAUAGUACUCCUCUAGAAUCCUCCUGAAUGUGGUAGCAUUCCGAGCAAUCGUCUGGCCUAACAGAAGGCAAUCACCUACAAAAAGAAGAUAUAAGAUCAGUCGAGCCCCCA
rnacentral:lncRNA from 1 species